rnacentral:rRNA from 1 species
GCGAACGUUGGCGGCGUGGAUUAGGCAUGCAAGUCGAACGAAGACGGGGUAGCAAUAUCCCGGACUGAGUGGCGAAAGGGGCAGUAAAGCGUGGGCAACCUACCCCCGGGACGGGGAUAGCCUUCCUAUCGGGAGGGUAAUACCCGGCGACGUAGCGAAGGGGCAUCUCUUUGCUACCAAAUGAAUUUCGCCCGGGGCGGGGCUCACGUGCUAUUAGCUAGUUGGCGGGGUAACGGCCCACCAAGGCAGAGAUGGCUAGCAGGUGUGAGAGCACGACCUGCGCCACUGGCACUGGGACACUGGCCAGACACCUACGGGUGGCUGCAGUCGAGGAUCUUUGGCAAUGGGCGCAAGCCUGACCAAGCGACGCCGCGUGCGCGAUGAAGGCCUUCGGGUUGUAAAGCGCUGUCGAGGGGGAGGAAGCCGCAAGGUUGACCUAUCCCUGGAGGAAGGACGGGCUAAGUUCGU